CUGUUAGUGUGUAAGAAUUAAUUGAGUUAUUAGACCGUCUUGAGUUCGAACUGUUUGGAUAGGAACUGAGACACCGGCCAAUAGUGUGCUCUAAGUAGUGAAAUAUCUGUUAGAUGUUGGUGUGUAUUUUUCUAGUGAAUUUUGUUGACUUUGAUUUUCUUGAUUUGGUAAAUACUAUCAGUCAAGUGCUAGGACGGUGAGGAAAGAUAAGCCACGUGGGCGUCAUCAUGGUCUCACUCAACAGAAGAGGCAAGAGAUAAAGGAAGCUUUUGAACUGUUUGACACUGAUGGCUCAGGAACUAUUGAUGCUAAGGAGUUGAAUGUUGCUAUGAGGGCUCUGGGUUUUGAGAUGACCGAAGAGGUAUAAAAUCUGUCAUUUUGUUGGUUUUUUGUUGAUUACGAUUGAAAUAUUUCUUCUCUGAAUACUUGCAAAAAGAUAACCUAUGUUCCUUCCACUAUUCUUUUUCUUCUCUGGGUUCUAA